UUUAUGACCUGUUUUUGGGCGUGUUUGGAGCUUAGAUGCUUGCGCAGAAGUUUAGUUUUUAGAUUAGUUUGGAGAGACGAUAGGGAAGGUUAACCCUUCGACCAUGCGGGGUCAUGCGGGAUGUGUGCUACAUG